CCUACGGUUGGCAGCAGUAGGGAAUAUUGCUCAUUGGGUGCAACCCUGAAGCAGCAACGCAGCGUGGAGGAUGAAUGUUUUCGGAUUGUUAACUCCUUUUUUUAGAGAAGUUAAUUACGGUAUCUAACGAUUACUCACCGUCUAACUCCGUUCCAGCAGCCGCGGUACUACGGAGGGUGCAAGCGUUACUCGGAGUCACUGGGCGUAAAGCGCGCGUAGACGGGAUAGCAAGUCAGAUGUGAAAGCCUAUAGCUUAACCGUAGAACUGCAUUUGAAACUGUUAUUCUAGAGUAUGGGAGAGGUAGGUGGAAUUCUUGGGGGAGGGGUAAAAUCCGUAGAGAUCAAGAGGAAUACUCAUUGCGAAGGCGACCUGCUAGAACAUAACUGACGCUGAUGCGCGAAAGCGUGGGGAGCAAACAGGAUUAGAUACCCGAGUAGUC
rnacentral:rRNA from 1 species